AGAGUUUGAUCCUGGCUCAGAAUGAACGCUGGCGGUAGGCCUAACACAUGCAAGUCGAACGGUAACGGACCGCUGGGAUUCCUUCGGGAUGACCUUGGUGCCGACGAGUGGCGGACGGGUGAGUAACACGUAGGAAUCUGCCAAACAGUGGGGGACAACCCGGAGAAAUCCGGGCUAAUACCGCAUACGCCCUACGGGGGAAAGCGGGGGACCUUCGGGCCUCGCGCUGUUUGAGGAGCCUGCGUCGGAUUAGCUUGUUGGUGAGGUAAAGGCUCACCAAGGCGACGAUCCGUAGCUGGUCUGAGAGGAUGAUCAGCCACACUGGGACUGAGACACGGCCCAGACUCCUACGGGAGGCAGCAGUGGGGAAUAUUGCACAAUGGGCGAAAGCCUGAUGCAGCCAUACCGCGUGGGUGAAGAAGGCCUUAGGGUUGUAAAGCCCUUUCAGCAGGG
rnacentral:rRNA from 1 species